GGAGGGGGCUAGCGUUAUUCGGAAUUAUUGGGCGUAAAGGGCGUGUAGGCGGCUUCGUGUGUCCCAUGUGAAAGCCCUCGGCUCAACCGGGGAACUGCAUGGGAAACUGCGGAGCUUGAGUCCGGGGGAGGUGAGUGGAAUUCCCAGUGUAGCGGUGAAAUGCGUAGAUAUUGGGAGGAACACCGGUGGCGAAGGCGGCUCACUGGACCGGUACUGACGCUGAGACGCGAAAGCCAGGGGAGCAAACGGGAUUAGAUACCCCGGUAGUCCUGGCUGUAAACGAUGAGAACUUGGUGUGGCGGGUAUCGACCCCUGCCGUGCCGAAGCUAACGCAUUAAGUUCUCCGCCUGGGGAGUACGGCCGCAAGGCUG
rnacentral:rRNA from 1 species